rnacentral:lncRNA from 1 species
GGAACGGGAAAAUAAACAGCUUCUCUGUACUCAUUUGGCGCUCCCCCAAAAAAAGGAGCCAUUGAGAUGGGGCCUCUCGAGACCAGGCUGCCCAGCAGGAGGCCCCGAGGCCCUUCCCCUGGGAGGGUGGGGCCUGGGCCCUGCCGAGAAGCACCUCCCACUCCUCUCUCUCGUCCUGAAUGGUGUUUGUGUCGGUCCGCAGCUGUGUAUGGUAUUUCGUCUUAUAAUCCUGCAUCACUUCUAUCCUAUCCAGUCAUAUCUAAUGUAGAAAAAUUAGUUUCCAGUGAAAGUAAUAUGUAGUGCUUUUAUGAUAUUUGUG